rnacentral:rRNA from 1 species
GUGCAUAUCACUAUUGGGAUCCGAUUUAGCCAUGCUAGUUGCACGAGUUCAGACUCGUAGCGAAUAGCUCAGUAACACGUGGCCAAACUACCCUUCGGAGCACCAUACCCUCGGGAAACUGAGGCUAAUAGUGCAUCUCACACUCACCCUGGAAUGGCGAGUGUGUCAAACGCUCCGGCGCCGAAGGAUGUGGCUGCGGCCGAUUAGGUAGACGGUGGGGUAACGGCCCACCGUGCCGAUAAUCGGUACGGGUCAUGAGAGUGAGAACCCGGAGACGGAAUCUGAGACAAGAUUCCGGGCCCUACGGGGCGCAGCAGGCGCGAAACCUUUACACUGCACGACAGUGCGAUAAGGGGAUCCCAAGUGCGUAGGCAUAGAGCCUACGCUUUUGUACACCCUAGGGAGGUGUCCGAAUAAGGGCUGGGCAAGACCGGUGCCAGCCGCCGCGGUAAUACCGGCAGCCCGAGUGAUGGCCGAUCUUAUUGGGCCUAAAGCGUCCGUAGCUGGCCGUGAAAGUCCAUCGGGAAAUCCACCCGCUCAACGGGUGGACGUCCGGUGGAAACUUCACGGCUUGGGACCGGAAGGCGCGACGGGUACGUCCGGGGUAGGAGUGAAAUCCCGUAAUCCUGGACGGACCGCCGAUGGCGAAAGCACGUCGCGAGAACGGAUCCGACAGUGAGGGACGAAAGCUAGGGUCUCG